AUUGAACGCUGGCGGCAUGCCUUACACAUGCAAGUCGAACGGCAGCACGGGAGCAAUCCUGGUGGCGAGUGGCGAACGGGUGAGUAAUAUAUCGGAACGUGCCCAGUCGUGGGGGAUAACGUAGCGAAAGCUACGCUAAUACCGCAUACGAUCUAUGGAUGAAAGCGGGGGAUCGCAAGACCUCGCGCGAUUGGAGCGGCCGAUAUCAGAUUAGGUAGUUGGUGAGGUAAAGGCUCACCAAGCCGACGAUCUGUAGCUGGUCUGAGAGGACGACCAGCCACACUGGGACUGAGACACGGACCAGACUCCUACGGGAGGCAGCAGUGGGGAAUUUUGGACAAUGGGCGCAAGCCUGAUCCAGCAAUGCCGCGUGCAGGAUGAAGGCCUUCGGGUUGUAAACUGCUUUUGUGCGGAACGAAACGGCGAGCUCUAAUACAGUUUGCUAAUGACGGUACCGUAAGAAUAAGCACCGGCUAACUACGUGCCAGCAGCCGCGGUAA
rnacentral:rRNA from 1 species